rnacentral:rRNA from 1 species
AACGAACGCUGGCGGCAUGCCUAACACAUGCAAGUCGAACGAGACCUUCGGGUCUAGUGGCUCGCGGGUGCGUAACGCGUGGGAACCUGCCCUUAGAUUCGGAAUAACUCCCCGAAAGGGGUGCUAAUACCGGAUAAUGUCUUCGGACCAAAGCUUUAUCGCCUUUGGAUGUGCCCGCGUUGGAUUAGCUAGUUGGUAGGGUAAAAGCCUACCAAGGCGACGAUCCAUAGCUGGUCUGAGAGGAUGAUCAUCCACACUGGGACUGAGACACGGCCCAGACUCCUACGGGAGGCAGCAGUGGGGAAUAUUGGACAAUGGGCGAAAGCCUGAUCCAGCAAUGCCGCGUGAGUGAUGAAGGCUUUAGGGUUGUAAAGCUCUUUUACCCGGGAUGAUAAUGACAGUACCGGGAGAAUAAGCGCCGGCUAACUCCGUG